rnacentral:rRNA from 1 species
AACGAACGCUGGCGGCAGGCUUAACACAUGCAAGUCGAGCGCCCCGCAAGGGGAGCGGCAGACGGGUGAGUAACACGGGGGGAUCUGCCCGAUGGUACGGAAUAGCUCCGGGAAACUGGAACUAAUACCGUAUGUGCCCGCAAGGGGAAAGAUUUAUCGCCAUCGGAUGAACCCGCGUCGGAUUAGCUAGUUGGUGUGGUAAAGGCGCACCAAGGCGACGAUCCGUAGCUGGUCUGAGAGGAUGAUCAGCCACACUGGGACUGAGACACGGCCCAGACUCCUACGGGAGGCAGCAGUGGGGAAUAUUGGACAAUGGGCGCAAGCCUGAUCCAGCCAUGCCGCGUGAGUGAUGAAGGCCUUAGGGUUGUAAAGCUCUUUCGCCGACGAAGAUAAUGACGGUAGUCGGAGAAGAAGCCCCGGCUAACUUCGUGCCAGCCGCCGCAGUAAGAC